UAGUAUGAUGAUGUGGGCUAUACUUAUUUGUUUUGCUGACAUGGACACUACAGCUGUCAUGUGUGCUAUUGGAUUUUAAUUGUAUAUGUGGUAGUGCAUUGCAUGUUGAGAUAAAUAGUUAUUGAGGUUUUACUUAGUGGAUUUUAAUUGAAUAUGGUAGUGCAUUGCUUAGGUGGAUAGCUUGCAUGCUUAGAGAAAUAGUUUAGUGGGGUUUAGGAUUAUAAGAGUCAUAGAUGUGUUGGUUGCAUUGUGACGCUAACGUGCAGGGCCCAUUCUGUCUAUCUGAUUCCCGGACAUUGUUCAUAUUUCUCGAUCCACGUACACAAAUAGGAAAAGAGAGUGUGCUUUUUGGAGGCCAUCGUUAUUGCUAUUGUUUGAGCCCCUUUCCGCAGUCCUCCCUGUCGAGGUCCGUCGGUGUUGCGGCGAUUCAAGUGGCAACGUCGCCUUUCUGUGCUCCUCCCCAUCGAGGCCCAUCGGUGUCGCGGUGAUUCAAGAGCUCUGGAGGCAUGUUACUAAUAUGACUGGUCACUUCCGGAAUCCCUUGUUAUGCCGUGAGCCGGGGACUUUGCCGUGUGUUUCCCAUCGGGCACACGGCAAAGAUUACUUUUGCCGAGAGCCACAAGCCCAACUUACGGCAUACUGAAAACGCUCGGCAUACGCCUCUUCACCGUCUGCUACUGUGUUGUACGAUCUUUGCCGUGCGCUGCAUACGGCAAAGUGUUUGCCGUGUGUUUUGGGCACUUUGCCGUGUACCUGAGGCACACGGCAAAGUUCCUGAAUCCGGUAGUGGGUGGUGUUCGUUGUGCACUGAUGCUUCUGUAAUGGUGGUCUCUCCUAUUUUAAGGUAAAUGAAAUGUGCUUCUAAAAUACUGUCAGAAUGUAGUAGCUGCCUCUAUCAUGUUCAGUUUAUGAUUCUAGUUUGAUGAAA